GAUGAACGCUGGCGGCGUGCCUAAUACAUGCAAGUCGAGCGAACGGACUAGAAGCUUGCUUCUCUGAUGUUAGCGGCGGACGGGUGAGUAACACGUGGAUAACCUACCUAUAAGCCUGGGAUAACUUCGGGAAACCGGAGCUAAUACCGCAUAAUAUUUUGAACCGCAUGGUUCAAAAUUGAAAGACGGUCUUGCUGUCCUUUAUAGAUGGAUCCGCUCUGCAUUAGCUAGUUGGUAAGGUAACGGCUUACCAAGGCAACGAUGCAUAGCCGACCUGAGAGGGUGAUCGGCAACACUGGAACUGAGACACGGUCCAGACUCCUACGGGAGGCAGCAGUAGGGAAUCUUGCGAAAUGGGCGAAGGCCUGACGAAGAAACGCCGCGUGAGUGAUGAAGGUCUUCGGAUCGUAAAACUCUGUUAUUAGGGAAGAACAUAUGUGUAAGUAACUGUGCACAUCUUGACGGUACCUAAUCAGAAAGCCACGGCUAACUACGUG
rnacentral:rRNA from 1 species